rnacentral:rRNA from 1 species
UACGUAGGGAGCAAGCGUUGUUCGGAUUUACUGGGCGUAAAGGGCGCGUAGGCGGCGCGGUAAGUCACUUGUGAAAUCUCUGAGCUUAACUCAGAACGGCCAAGUGAUACUGCAGUGCUAGAGUGCAGAAGGGGCAAUCGGAAUUCUUGGUGUAGCGGUGAAAUGCGUAGAUAUCAAGAGGAACACCUGAGGUUAAGACGGGUUGCCAGGCUGACACUGACGCUGAGGCGCGAAAGCCAGGGGAGCAAACGGG